UGAAACACCCCAGAAAAGUGUUUGUCUCCUGAACGUGUGUGAAGGAAUGGACCAGGAGAGGGGAUGCAACAGAAGUCAUAAUCAGCUUUGACUUGGAAAAAAACUAUGAAAAUAAUCAUCUUGCCUCUUGGCUUUCAGCAAUAUCUUCUGCCCUGGAUAUUUGCUCCCCUCCCCAGCUGGAAGAAUAUCCCACUGCUCAGUGACAAUUUGUACGUGUACAAAUCAUUGACCAAAUACCAAGUCAGGUGUACUUGGCCACUCUUUAAGAAACAAAAUGCCUGGGACUGUCAGAUAAGAAGUCCACAUGGCAGCUUUCCAAUUGUAUUUAUCCACUCCAACUAA
rnacentral:lncRNA from 1 species